AGUAUGUUAAGAGAAAUUUGUUCAAAUUAAGAACUAAUUUAGAACAAUUGAAAAUGUGCUGUAUUAAUUUGACUUCAGUGAGAGCUCCAAGUUCCAAGUCUAGAACAACUGCAGGAUGAUUUCCCAACGUGUUAUUCAUUGCAACAUAGCAACUGGGAAAGAAACAGACUUGGAAUCAUCUUUUCCUCAUAUUUCCAGGAAGGAUCUCCCAUGUAUUUUCAGUUCCUUCAUCACUAAAGUUU